GCUCUGGCUGGGCGGGUCCACCUUUGGGUGGUACUGCUUUGGCUAGGGUUUACCCUUCUGGUGAACCGCUAUGUCCUUUGCUGGGUGUGGCGGGGAACCAGGAUUUUUACCUUGAAAAAAUUAGAGUGUUUAAAGCAGGCCAAUUGCUUGAAUACAUUAGCAUGGAAUAAUGGAAUAGGACCUCGGUUCUAUUUUGUUGGUUUCUAGGACCGAAGUA
rnacentral:rRNA from 1 species